GAUGAACGCUGGCGGCGUGCUUAACACAUGCAAGUCGAACGAGAAUCGAUGGAUAGAGGCUUCGGCCAAUUGAAAUCGAGGAAAGUGGCGGACGGGUAAGUAACGCGUGAGGAACCUGCCUAAGAGUGGGGAAUAACAGUCCGAAAGGACUGCUAAUACCGCAUAAUGCAGUUGGGUCGCAUUGCUCUGACUGCCAAAGAUUUGUCGCUCUUAGAUGGCCUGGCGUCUGAUUAGCUAGUUGGUAGGGUAACGGCCUACCAAGGCGACGAUCAGGCGCCGGACUGAGAGGUUGGCCGGCCACAUUGGGACUGAGACACGGCCCAGACUCCUACGGGAAGCAGCAGUGGAGAAUAUUGGGCAAUGGGCGCAAGCCUGACCCAGCAACGCCGCGUGAAGGAUGAAGGCUUUCGGGUUGUAAACUUCUUUUAACAGGGACGAAACAAAUGACGGUACCUGUUGAAUAAGCCACGGCUAACUACGUGCCAGCAGCCGCCGUAAAAC
rnacentral:rRNA from 1 species